GGCAAAUGCAGUUUUUGAUUAUUUUGCAAAUACCAGCAUAGGUAGCUAAACCACAGUACAAAUUUUGAGAAUUUCGAAUUUUCAUCCAACCAAACAACAUAUUCUUGAAAUGAAGCAAAACUUGGUUCCAAAAAUGUAGGAAAACAGGAUUAAGGAACUAUUGAACAACCAACCACUUUCUCGGUAGAACCUUACAUGUUUUUGGGAUCAGCCUCACCAUCACCUGCUACUACUCCAGAGUCGUCUGUUUUAGUAACAUCCACGUCACCUGCUGCUACUGUAGAGUCUUCUGUUUUAGUAACAACUGUGUUACUCUCUUCUCCUGGGUUUUGCUGACCCUCCAUAGGUACAUGGUCACUUAUGGCUUCAGAGUCCAUUGUGGAAACGUCAGCCACUUGCACCUGUCCAUCAACGUCUUGAGGAGUUGUGUCAUGAGAGAUGGAGGCAGAAGUUUCCUCUGCAAUGGGGCACUGGCUAGUACCUGAGGGCUCCACAUGCACAUUAUCAGCUUCAAUAGAAGCAGAAUUUUCCUCUGCAUUAGAGCACUGGUUGGUACCUGAAGGCUCUACAUGCACAUCAGCUUCUAUUGGCACAUGAGAGGCAGAAGCAGAAUUUUCCUCUGUAUUGGAAUUCUGUCCGGUACCUGAAGGUUCCACAUCAUCAGCAGAUGGUACACUAUCUUUUUCUGCCAUUUCUGCCUUCGCCAACUCAAGAGCACGAUUUUUUGCUGCAACUUCUUCCUGCAUUUGAUCUUGUAUUCUAUACUCAUCCAUGAGAUGCUGGAUCUUUUGCGUAUCUGCUAUGAGGUCACCGUACCUUUUCUGUAAAGUACGCUCAAGCUCCUUUUGCUUCUGAACUUCUUCCCACAUAUUGUUGAUCCUGUGGGAUGCUGCUAGCUGCUCUUGUUUUUGUAAUGCUCGGAAGCAUUCAAGCUCUGUACCCGCUGUGUCCAUUUUCUUGAAGGUUGACUCUAUCUGUGACCAAAGCUUUCCAGCUCGCAUCUGAUAUCCAUUAGUAAGAACUUUGAUCUUUUGCUCAAGUUUUGUUGCUUUCUUAGUAUCAUCGUCCAUUUUUUUCUUCACAUUCUCAAACUCGUUCUGCAAAGCAGCAAGCUUUUCCAUGUUUCCAGCAACACUUGAGAGACCA
rnacentral:misc_RNA from 1 species